GAUGAACGCUGGCGGCGUGCCUAAUACAUGCAAGUCGAGCGAACGGACGAGAAGCUUGCUUCUCUGAUGUUAGCGGCGGACGGGUGAGUAACACGUGGAUAACCUACCUAUAAGACUGGGAUAACUUCGGGAAACCGGAGCUAAUACCGGAUAAUAUUUUGAACCGCAUGGUUCAAAAGUGAAAGACGGUCUUGCUGUCACUUAUAGAUGGAUCCGCGCUGCAUUAGCUAGUUGGUAAGGUAACGGCUUACCAAGGCAACGAUGCAUAGCCGACCUGAGAGGGUGAUCGGCCACACUGGAACUGAGACACGGUCCAGACUCCUACGGGAGGCAGCAGUAGGGAAUCUUCCGCAAUGGGCGAAAGCCUGACGGAGCAACGCCGCGUGAGUGAUGAAGGUCUUCGGAUCGUAAAACUCUGUUAUUAGGGAAGAACAUAUGUGUAAGUAACUGUGCACAUCUUGCCGGUACCUAAUCAGAAAGCCACGGCUAACUACGUGC
rnacentral:rRNA from 1 species